rnacentral:lncRNA from 1 species
UCGACGGCAAAUAGACAUUUCAUUUAAUCAUAUGUAAUCGUUAAAUUAUUGAUAUUUUAAGGUCUUAAUAAUGACAUCUCACUAAAAUAAAUCAGACUCCUCCUUCAACAACUCCUUCACCUGCAUGUUCAGAUCCUCCUUCAACUCAGCGUCAACGUAACAAGAAAACUGCUUGUUGGUAAAUGCUCUCAAACAUUGAUUGCCCCUAUGGGGAAAGGUGUUAGUUUAGUCACGAAAUUUGUGACAACUUCAUGGUUGAAGGUAAAUGUGAUAUUGUUGAAAGUCCAUUAUCACAUCAUAAGGUUUACUUGUGUCAUGAUUGGGCAUUACAUGAGAGUUACACUUUGGGUGACAGCUGCCCGUAUAUGGAGUUAUACGUACUCUCAUGGUUGGGAUGAUACCAUAGGUCCCGUGGCUCCAUUUUAUUGUGUCAGUAUCUGCGUUUACUACUUUGCAUGGGAAGUCUAUCCAUACGGGGAAUUUUGUUUCUUCAGACAUACUCUCUUGGAUAGAGAAGAAGCUUUUAGGACUACAUAGCAUUCAAGCAUGGUGGCAAGUGCAUUAGAGAUGCCCUCCAACAUCCAACAUGCAGCUCACAUGCAUUUUAUGCCCUUUAAAAUCUCUCAUCGUUUAUAGUAUUUUCAGUUUUAUGUACGGAUAGUCUUUUGACUGUAGAUGAUGUUUCAUCAAUAAUACUGAUGUUAAAUUCCUCUUUUUGAUUGAAUGGGAAAAAUAUGUUUGUAUCCUAAAAAAAAUCAUUUACUCAUUACAUACUUUUUUUUUCUUCAACCAAAUUAAUAUUUACUCAUUUGUUAAAUAAAUCCAUUUACUUACUUUUUUUUUACUAUAAUACAUUUUGUUUCUAUCUUCAACGAAUCAAAAACAAAUUUAAUAUACUUUCUUUUCUAUCACCAAUUAUUCUUCUUCUUUUUUUCUCAGUUUUUUUCCUAUCAAACAAUACAUUAUUCUACACACCCCACACAAUUUGACGCCCGUUACUUGUGUCCAUAAAAAAAUUAAAGCGUUAAAUAUGUAUUUGAUUCAUCUAAAUAUGUUAACUUUUAUCAUUAGUCCAUCUAAAAUUAUUCUUCGAACUUUGGUCCUUUAAAUUUGUUGUUUUUAAUUUUAAUCCCUACUUUUUUUUUAUAAAAGUUCACGUAUCAUAUUUCAAAUGACUUUUUUAAAAAAAUAUAUCUUUCUUAAAAUCUUAAAAUACUAUUAGUUUAAUAAGUUAACUAUUUAAUCACUAAUUCUUGUUGAUUUAUCUAUAAUUUCAAAUUAAAGAUUAAAUAGUUGAAUAAGUAAAUUAUUGAUUUUUUUUUU